UCUCAUCAGCGAUGUUUCAUAACAUCAUCAAAUAAUUUAUAUUUUUGCAUCAUUUCAAUUUUAAAAUGUCGUGGAAGACUCAAAUUUCUGUAGUAUUUUUUGGUUGGAUGGUAUUUUUUAUUUAUAUUAUUUUAGCUUCUUAAUUAUUCAUAAAAAAACUAAGUAGAAAGUCAAAAGAUGAACUCAAUACAAUGGUAGGUCACUAAGUUUAAGAUCUUUAAUUAAAAAA
rnacentral:lncRNA from 1 species